rnacentral:rRNA from 1 species
AGUGAACGCUGGCGGUAGGCCUAACACAUGCAAGUCGAACGGCAGCACAGGAGAGCUUGCUCUCUGGGUGGCGAGUGGCGGACGGGUGAGGAAUACAUCGGAAUCUACCUUUUCGUGGGGGAUAACGUAGGGAAACUUACGCUAAUACCGCAUACGACCUACGGGUGAAAGUGGGGGACCGCAAGGCCUCACGCGAUCAGAUGAGCCGAUGUCCGAUUAGCUAGUUGGCGGGGUAAUGGCCCACCAAGGCGACGAUCGGUAGCUGGUCUGAGAGGAUGAUCAGCCACACUGGGACUGAGACACGGUCCAGACUCCUACGGGAGGCGGCAGUGGGGAAUAUUGGACAAUGGGCGCAAGCCUGAUCCAGCCAUACCGCGUGGGUGAAGAAGGCCUUCGGGUUGUAAAGCCCUUUUGUUGGGAAAGAAAUCCUAUCGGUUAAUAACCGGUGGGGAUGACGGUACCCAAAGAAUAAGCACCGGCUAACUUCGUGCCAGCCGCCGCAGUAAGAC